rnacentral:rRNA from 1 species
ACGGGUGAGGAAUACAUCGGAAUCUACUUUUUCGUGGGGGAUAACGUAGGGAAACUUACGCUAAUACCGCAUACGACCUACGGGUGAAAGCAGGGGACCUCCGGGCCUUGCGCGAUUGAAUGAGCCGAUGUCGGAUUAGCUAGUUGGCGGGGUAAAGGCCCACCAAGGCGACGAUCCGUAGCUGGUCUGAGAGGAUGAUCAGCCACACUGGAACUGAGACACGGUCCAGACUCCUACGGGAGGCAGCAGUGGGGAAUAUUGGACAAUGGGCGCAAGCCUGAUCCAGCCAUACCGCGUGGGUGAAGAAGGCCUUCGGGUUGUAAAGCCCUUUUGUUGGGAAAGAAAUCCAGCCGGCUAAUACCUGGUUGGGAUGACGGUACCCAAAGAAUAAGCACCGGCUAACUUCGUGCCAGCAGCCGCGGUAAUACGAAGGGUGCAAGCGUUACUCGGAAUUACUGGGCGUAAAGCGUGCGUAGGUGGUUGUUUAAGUCUGUUGUGAAAGCCCUGGGCUCAACCUGGGAACUGCAGUGGAAACUGGACGACUAGAGUGUGGUAGAGGGUAGCGGAAUUCCUGGU